UAGCAAUCUUACUGGAAUGCAUGAAUCAGCGGAGGAAAGUGUAUUACAUCAUUACUUUAUACAUAUAAAAGCAUAUCCAUAAAACUUCCAUCGUUUAAAUAAUCUAAAUCCUAUUAAACCUGCCAGUGGUUUAUAGGUAGAACAGCCAUCAACAAGCAUGCUGUUCCAGCAGAAGAACCCUGAAGCACAAGAGGAAGAGUAUAAGAAACGGACCAACAAGAAUCACAAUUAAGGUUAAUAUGCCCAGGAGAGUUACUGCACUUCACUGCAUUGAUUUCCCUUUUUCUUUUUAGUAAUCGGUUUUACCACCCUGAUCUGCUCAGUAUUGACUGAUUCCAUCGAACAGAUUUAAUACAGUUCUUACAGCUUUAAAAAUGGUAGACAAAGAGGGGCAAAUAUCCUAUUAAAGAGAUGAGGAUGUGGCACAAUUCAGUUACCGGAAAGAAGGAGAAAAUCAGGGUUUAAAUUAAGUGGUCAGAAUCAAAAGAAAAGGGAUCAUUGUGGAGUAUUUCACAAACACAUGAGUGAUGAUUUCUGAUCAAUAGCUUUUAACAGCAAGGGGCCGAUCUGGAAAUUGAUUUGGAAUUUCAUAACGUAAUAACAUCUGAGGAGUAAAAAGAACUUGGAUCCACACUCUAGUUUUGGAACUGGUAGGCUUGAGAAUAUAAUUCAUCAGUUACUCUCAAACAUCUAGUGUGAAGGAAGCUGGCCGUUAUGCCUUCCUUCAGUCUUGCCCCAGCAAAUUUUGGAGACAUCAGAGGCAAAUCUUCAGACCAGUAAUAAAUUAAUUAGACGCCGUCCACAAAAGAACGGGUUGAAAAAGACAAUAAAUGUCUAGAGGAGUAGAAAAGAGUUUUUCACGCAGCAGAAAUCAAAAAAGGCAAAAUGUACAAAAGGAGAAGAAGAAAAGCAUAAUACAAAGAAAACAUGCAGUGCACCAUGGAGGGAGGCAGAGCAAUAGAUUCUUUAAAAUAAUAACACAAAGGAGACCAGAGAAAGAAUUCGGAACUUUAAAGGUUCAGAAGAAAAAGAAUUAAAACAAAGAGAAAGCUACAGAAGUUUCAGCGGGUAGGAAAGGGAACUUGAAAAGGCACCAAGUUUGACUGUUAGCCAAUUACAACAGUAAGCCCCCAUCUUUAACUUGCGAAGACUUUGAAGGCAUAAAGCUCAACAACUGUAAUCAUCAGUCAACAAGUUACGGUUGCAGAAUAACAAGGUAUGAUAUAAAUAAAUGAUGCCUCCGCAACAUAGGUCAGAAAGGAUGCAUCUGAAAAGGAUCAAUAAUUUUAAAUGGAGGCAAUUAAUUCGAUUUGUGUACACAGGGUGUGAUUUGAUGGCAUCUGUUCUUUGUGCUUUGCUGUUUCAAAGCAGUAGACAGAGCACACAGUAUGCCUCUUCUCACAUUAGGCCUUGUGUCCCAUGCUAGGCAUGUUUACUCUGAAGUAGACACCCCCCCACACACACAAAAACAACCUGCAAGAAAUCAGAGGGAAGUUAUCCCCUUCCUGUCCUUCUUCUGAUUAUACCCCCCACCCCCAUUUACAAAAACAAAAAUUGGAAAACACUCCCAUGAUUUAUUUAUUUUUUUACUUGCUUUCGGAGUGAGUGAAAUCUUCUUAAGACAAUCUACAGCAUUCUUAAAUCAUUCCUAGAGAGAUGCAAAGUUAAAAUCCAAAGGGCACUGCUAUCUUCAUGAGAAGAGAAAAAGAAUAAAAGGGUAAAUAGCUCAUACAUCACAUUUUGCACAAGCCCAACACGUCUGCGGAAGUGACACUUCCUCUGCUACUAACUCCCCCCACCUCCAUAGGAUUACUCUGUAAAGUGUAAAUGUUGCAUUUCAUAUUACAUGAGCAGCAAAUAAGUUUAUGUUUAAUAAGAAAGGAAGCAUAGUGUACAUUUCUAUUUCACACACACCCAAUCCCCAGCCACUGGCGGAGGAACAGGGGUGCGGGCAGCAUGCCACACCCCCGGGACAGGCACCAGCCACGCCUGCUCUCCGCCCCACCCCCACUGGAGCUUGAAGCUCCUCCACUGUCCCCAGCCCUGUCCCAGCCUUCUUCAGACACUUUACAUCUCUGCUCAGAAGUGAGUCCCACUGAGUUCAAUAGGCGUAACACUCAAGUAAUUGUACGUAGGACAGCAGCAUCAGUAUUCUAACUGAAACAAGUGAUCUACCACAUCUGAUCCCCCCCCCCAAAUUGCCAAAACAUAUAUUGUUUUAAAGUUAAAGCAAUAUAUGAAUUUUGCCCCCAAACGCUCAGCUUUACAUAUAGAUAUGUUUGUUCGUGUGCUUUUUCAUUCUGAAAAAAUCAUCCAGAUAACAAGGGGCAGAAUUAAAAAAUAGUGGUUUUGCUACGUGGUACUGGAAAUGCUGAGGGACACGGGUGGUGCUGUGGGUUAAACCACAGAGCCUAGGACUUGCCGAUCAGAAGGUUGGCGGUUCGAAUCCCCGCGACGAGGUGAGCUCCCGUUGUUCAGUCUCUGCUCCUGCCAACCUAGCAGUUCGAAAGCACGUCAAAGUGCAAGUAGAUAAAUAGGUACCGCUCCCGCAGGAAGGUAAACGGCAUUUCCGUGCACUGCUCUGGUUCGCCAGAAGCAGCUUAGUCAUGCUGGUCACUUGUACGCCAGCUCCCUCGGCCAAUAAAGCGAGAUGAGCGCCGCAACCCCAGAGUCAGCCAUGACUGGAUCUAAUGGUCAGGGGUCCCUUUACCUUUUACUGGAAAUGCUGCCACAUGGAAGACAUACAGUGGAAUCCAGUGUAGAUUUCUCCUUGUGCAGCAAAAGGUUCUCCUUCCUUCUAUUCCCCCCCUUUUUUGCCUCCUAAAAUCUGUUCUAGGGUUCCCCAAAAAACCCUGGAGCAGAUUGGGGGAGGGGCACAUGAUGCACACCGGGGAAUGAGAGGAGGGAACUCCCAUUGCACAAGAGGAAAUCCUUGCACUGAUUAGAUUUGGUAGUUUAAUACUAGCCAUACAAAUGUGCAUGAUUCAGUUACACAGCCCAUCUCUGUUGCAGUCCCAUCAGUGUCGGAGGAACUACCCUAUUGUGGGAAAGGCUUUGCCAUGAAACCCACCAGUGCCAAAACCCUGCAGACAUCUGGAAAGGCUUUCAAUGUUUUCAAGUUCUACCAUUGUGAAGCUUUUAUGAUUGGACUUUGCAGGGCUCCUUCUGUCUAUAUUGUUUCUGCUUUUCGUCUGAUUGUUUUACCUAUGUGAAUCCUAUAUAAGCUUAUAUAUAUAUCACAUUAACCUGUUGGGUAGAGUUGCUAAUAUAGAGCUUACCUUCAGGUUUUAUUUAGAUGGAGACUUUAUAUUUUAACCCAAAACAGCAACUCACCAGCAUCCCUUAAUCUGCCAAAUGAAGCAGUAGAUGUUCUCAUCAUCUAUGUAACUGCCUAAUCCCUUUACAAUCCUCUUAAGCUUCAGUGAUAUUGCUUGUUCUGAGAGACACAGCUUAAUUUGCUGCACAGUGUCACAUUUCAUUCAACACAUUUUACAUUAGAUGCAUCUUAGCUACAUCAAAUGGCUAUUGGUCCUUGUAAUACACCUUGUGGUGUAAAGAUGAAUUCCUCAUCACUAGAUACACUCCCAUUCAUAAAAGGUGUGUGUGUGGCGGGGUAUUGUUUCCACCAAUCACUCUCCAUCAAGAUUGUAUUUAGCAAACCCAGGGAAUCUGUACAGUUUCAAAGGGGUGGGAGAGGGAAGUACAGAACUUUUCUUCUUUUUUAAUAGCUUCUCCAAUAGGACCAAAUGUGUGUGCCAUUUGAGAAGCUUCAAGGGAACAGCUGGCGAUCAGCCACAGAUCCAGGUCAGUGGUGGCACUGGACAGACAGGAGAAGCAUCUCACAGUGUCUGCCAUGUUUGUUUUUAUUUUAAAAAAUCUCCAUCAGUCUUCCUUAACAUGCUCCUCAAGCUGAAGGUACCACUGGCAGUCUAUAACAUUGGAGUAGCCCAUGGACAUGCAGUGCCAAAGAAUCUGGAAGCUGAUGCAAUAAAGUCAUGGCCUGCUUAACCCAGUGAAAUGUUGGCUUUGUCCUUUCACUGCCCUCCUUUCUCUGCCCUCUAUUUGCUCUGUUCCCACACUGCCAGCACACUAUUAAAUGCAGGCCAGGCACUCUGUAGGUCAUUGACUGUCCUCAUAAUUAUCUCAUCUUUGCAUGGCUCUCCACAUUCCAAAUGAUAACAACAGCCAAACUGUCUACUGAAAAGCAUUCCCCCCCCCCCACUGGUAUCUAUGAUGGAUAAUAAACAAAACAAAAAAUUGUCACAUGGGGCAAUGGGAUAGAUCAGAUCUGUCCCUCUGACGCUGGAAACAGGGCUUGGAUUCUGAAGAAUGAGAUCUGAUGUCAGAAUCUCUCUCCCCAUCUCAGGCUCCUUGAUCACCCUGGCCUAACUAAUGUCAGAGCUAUGAUAUUGGUAGGGCCAUAUAGGAGAUGUGUCAGGAAGCUGUUGGUUCCUGACCUGUCUUGUUCCCUCACCAUACCCAGAAAGUGCAGAGAAAUUGAGUCACAUUCAAGAGGCAUCCCUGUCAAGAGUGUGCAUAAAUCACCCUCCUCUUCUAAAACAGUUUUCUUCCCCAGCCCCAAGCCUGGAAGCAUAUGGAGGAAACCAGAGUGUUUCCCCACUCUUAUUUCUGCGCCACUGAUACAGCCCAGUAUGGUGUAAGACAAUUCAGUUCAACUGCCUUCAGUUCUACCCGACACCGGAAAGCUGGAAUAUUAUGGGACACUGUGUGGGGGCCACAGAAAGGUGGUGAAUAUUGUGGAGAAUAUUAAAUUCUGCAAAGCAGGCUUCUUUUUCUAGGGGGAAUCAGAAUGGAAAAAUCUCAGAAAGAAUGUUUCCGAGAAAUUUUUGGCUCAGCCCCACUUUUAAGCAAUGCAAGCCAGAAGGAAACAUUCUGCUAUACAUAUUGUGUGAAUGGCAGUUAUAGCAUGAGCUUGUUUAGGAAGAAAACUUGUUUUUCUCCUUGAAGGGAAGAAUAAAUGCUCUCAAACAGAAGACAUGGACAGCACUGACAAUAAAUGCCAUAACGUUUGCCAUCUAUCUGGUUUUCCUAGAAAAACUGCAUAUGGUUUUGAUUUUCUGUCACCUUCUAAACUUUAGUCUCUGGAGAUUUUUCUGCCUCUCAAGAUAUAGCAGUUACUAACUGAUCAAUCUUUUGGACAGAUUUAUUUUUGAACUUCAGAACUAAGGAAGCUCAAAUUUUUGAUGUAAGUCAAAUUGGGCAUCUCUUUGUAAAACCCACUGGUCACUUCAAAAGUGAAUUUAAGGCAAUUUAUGGCAUGAACCAUACCUCCUACCGUGCUCAAACCCAUGUUGCUGGCUGAACUUAGGCUACUGAACUCACCGUUCCUAUCAAUUGAGUUAAUUUCUCUUUCUCUCUGCCAUUAUUAUUAUUCAUUUAAUUCCUAUCCUUUUUCCAGAUAGAAGACACUGCUUCUUUCUACAUCUUUCCAAUUCCCCCUGCAUUGGCUUCAAAAUGGACACCCUCAGAGUGAGGGCAGAAUUAGGAACCAAUGCUUCCAGUCUGAUUGGAUCUUCAGCAACAACAGGUUAUUACUGAUGAAUGGGACACCUCACAACUAAUGGCAUUCCCCUUCACCAGAAUGCCCUACCAACCUUUGUAGCUUGUGAAUGGGUUGCCAGACAUGAAGAUCCUUCCACCCAGUCUUUCUGUGUCUACCACCAAUGCUUGCCCCUAACCACUGAGUUCAUCAAAAGGAGGAACUAGGUUUGGAGUGGGGUGAAGGAGACCUUACCCAGGGCUCCCUCAUACCUGUAAGCAGUCCUUCGAAUUGGUAGUAUUUCUCCAGACUCUCAUAGAGGAAUCUUUCCUAGGCCUGCAUGGAGAUGUCAUGACUUGAGCCUGGGAUGUUUUGUGUGCAACUACCACUGAGCUACAGUCCUUCCCUACCAGUUCCUCUGCAAAAGGUACCAGUGAUCCAGACUGAACCAUGGGAGGUAUGAAGUAUCAUAAGGGGUUGUGGUUCCCACUAGUAAGUCUUUCCACCAGUCUCAGGAAUGGAUGAAUGCUAUCACACAGUAACUGAUCAAAGGUAUAUCAAGAGUUUGCUAUCAUUUAUCAGCCUGUACUAGCAUGUCACUACACUGGUGUGUGUGUGUGGAAUGAACCCUUUGCCUGAGAGCAUGCAAGAAGAUCCUUUCAGUGGCCUAGCAAUCUGUUGAAGGAACACACUGUGAAAGAAAGGAAGGAAGGAAGGAAGGAAGGAAGGAAGGAAGGAAGGAAGGAAGGAAGGAAUCCACCAUAUUAAAAUGGGGGUCCCUUAACAGUGCAGAGUGAUGGUUAUACUGGCUGUUUUUAAUUAAAAAAUUGAGGAAAACAAAUAAUAAAUGUUCCUGACAACCCAGUGCAGAAGUUUCAGAGUAUAUUUUAAAGUACGUUUACAUACGUACACAGUCCAAGUCAAUUGAAGUUCAUGAUAAGCAAACAUUUGGUUUUCUGUUGAGGCAUAAGCCACUGAAAUGAAUCACCAAGGUAACUAUUUAUGACAGGUGAAAACCUGAACUGAGGUCUAUUUAGAUGUAAGCUGUUGUGACUCAGUUUAAUAGCAUAGAUUUCUGAAGUGCUGAAUCUGAAUAUUGAUCAUAAUCAGCUAUUUGAGGUUGCUAUUCUUCAGAAAUCGCCAACACUGAAAUAUUUGUUAAGAUAAAAGCAUUGCCACAUGACACCACAGUAUGUAGACUGCCUAUCUUCUGUUAUACCUUAAUGUAUGCCACUACAUGUCAUUAUUGUAUUUGCUCUGCAAUGUUAUUUUUUAUGUACUGCUGCAGAAGUAGCAAAUGUGGUGCCCUUAAGAUUUUGUUGGACUACUAUUCCAUCAUGCUGGCUGAGUCUAAUGCAAGCUGUAGCCCAAUACCAUCUGGGGUGUUUCAUGCUGGCUAAUGCUAGCUAAAGCUGGUCUUUUUGAUCCAGUGAUGAUUUCAGUGUCAACAUUUGUUGCUUUUAUUUCCUCUUUGCAGACAAUCGAUACAACGUUGAUUGGAAUAGGAGAGAUGAACAAAUCUGUCUAUUUCAGUUUUUCUACGUUUCUCAUUUUUUCAGUAUGAAGUUCAAUUUGCUGCGUUUCUACAUUAGUUUGUGAUUGUUUUUCAAUCAUCAGAAAAAAUUGUCUACAUUUUAGUGCCCAUUUCUCUCAAUAUACUCGUGUGUGUGUGCACGUGUGCAUAAAUAUGAUGCAUUUUAAUGUUCUUUUCAUUAAAACAUGCAUUUUUGCACACUUUCUUCUAACAUACAAUUUUGUACACAUCUUUUUGCUUGAAGAAUUGUGUCACAAAAUUCAGAAACGUGCACAUUUUCAAAGAUAGUUGCUUGCAGGCUUCCCACAGGCAUGUGACUGUGAGAACAGGAUGCUGGAAUAAACGGGCCUUUGGCCUGAUCCAACAGGGUUCUUCUUAUGCAGAAUUAAAGAAGGAUAACUCUGUCAUACUGUGUUCAAAGUGGCAAUACUGAAGGACUUAUUCUUCUGUUAAAACAUUUCCCUCUAUCAAUCAAAUGCUCAUCCUGGGCGAUAGGGAUGGGAAAGUAGGCAGCGGGUGAAUUUUAUCUGUGCAAGCCCACUACUACGUGUGAUCCCAAAAAGGCCUGUUGGGACUGCAUGCUUUUCUUGUAAACGGGUUGGUU
rnacentral:lncRNA from 1 species